rnacentral:rRNA from 1 species
UACGUAGGGUGCAGGCGUUAAUCGGAAUUACUGGGCGUAAAGCGUGCGCAGGCGGUUUGUUAAGACAGAUGUGAAAUCCCCGGGCUUAACCUGGGAACUGCGUUUGUAACUGGCAAGCUAGAGUGCGGGAGAGGAGAGUGGAAUUCCCGGUGUAGCGGUGAAAUGCGCAGAUAUCGGGAAGAACACCCGUGGCGAAGGCGGCUCUCUGGAACGCAACUGACGCUGAGACGCGAAAGCGUGGGGAGCAAACAGG